rnacentral:rRNA from 1 species
CCUACGGGAGGCAGCAGUUGGGAAUUUUGCACAAUGGACGAAAGUCUGAUGCAGCAACGCCGCGUGCGGGAUGAAGAUUUUCGGAUUGUAAACCGCUUUUAUUUGGGAGUAACUGUUUGAACGUACCAAAUGAAUAAGCACCGGCUAACUCCGUGCCAGCAGCCGCGGUAAUACGGAGGGUGCAAACGUUGUCCGGAAUUACUGGGCGUAAAGCGCAUGUAGGUGGUCUAAUAAGUGAACGAUUAAAUACCGACGCUUAACGUCGGAAAGGUUAUUCAUACUGUUAGACUCGAGGAAGACAGGGGCAGAUGGAACUUUAAGUGUAGGAGUGAUAUCCGUAGAUAUUUAAAGGAACACCAAUGGCGAAGGCAGUCUGCUGGGUCUUUUCUGACACUGAGAUGCGAAAGUGUGGGGAGCAAACGGGAUUAGAUACCCCGGUAGUCCACACUGUAAACGAUGCUCACUAAGGUCUUGGAGGGUAUCGACCCCCUUUUGGACCGAAGCUAACGCGUUAAGUGAGCCGCCUGGGGAGUACGAACGCAAGUUUAAACUCAAAUGAAUUGACGG